UACGGAGGGGGCUAGCGUUGUUCGGAAUUACUGGGCGUAAAGCGCACGUAGGCGGCUUUGUAAGUUAGAGGUGAAAAGCCCCAGGGCUUAACCCCUGGAAUUGCCUUUAAGACUGCAUCGCUAGAAUCGUGGAGAGGUGAGUGGAAUUCCGAGUGUAGAGGUGAAAUUCGUAGAUAUUCGGAAGGAACACCAGUGGCGAAGGCGACUCACUGG
rnacentral:rRNA from 1 species